GAGAGGCCUUCAAACCACAGAUUUCUUCAUUCCAUUAUACCUUUGAGUAUAUAAAACAGUUGUAAUAUUCCAGGGCCAGUCACUUGCCAUUUCUCCUAACAGCCUCAGAGAGAAAGAACUGACUGAAAAGUUUGAGAUGAAGAAAGUUCUCCUUCUGAUCACAGCCAUCUUGGCAGUGGCUGUUGGUUUCCCAGUCUCUGAAGACCAGGACCGAGAAAAAAGAAGUAUCAGUGACAGCGAUGAUUUAUCUUCAGAGUUUUUAGUGUUCCCUUACCCAUUUCUCCCAUUUCCAUUUCGAGGAUACCAAAGAUAUCCAUGGCUUAGAAAUAAUUUUCCUAUUCCAAUAAGUGAGUCUCGUCUUACAACUCCCCUUCCUGACAAAAAAUUAAACAAGAAGGAAAAGUCAGAAUAAAAUUGAAGAUGAAAUAUGUGGUCACCUAAAAUGAAAUGUGAGCCACUUCCUUGAAGAAUCAAAAUUCCUAUUAACAAAAGAAAAACAAAUGUAAUUGAAAUAGCACACAGCAUUCUCUAGUCAAUAUCUUUAGUGGUCUUGUUUAAUAAACAUGAAAGCAAAUAUCUUGGUUUCUUAAUUUCCACAAAUUCCAUAAUAAACACUCAACUGGUUUUCACUCUUCAGCAAUCCCUGGAGAAGGAAGAGGUAGCAGGCGGUUAUAAAAAUAAACUGCCCUACAGCAUAUGAUGAAA